GUGCUCUAGGGAUGAACAAGUCCCUAACAUUUAUUUUCUCCAUCUCAAUCACUUUGUCAGCAGUUUUUCCUUUGGUUUCUUGCUGAUCAUUAGAGGAUGGUACAUGC